GGGCUUUGUGGGCCAUGAGGAAGGGGAAGGGGAAGGAAGGGGAGGGACAGGACUAGCUGUGUGAGGAAGAACUUUUUCUGCAGAUCUCUAGAGUGGACAGUCAGGACGACAAGCUCUCUUUGGCUCCUUUGGGACAUCUGGUCCUUGGGGUUGCUGGCCUCCUGAACAGGACCUCAGGAGCUCAUUGGCUGGAGGGUCUGGGGACGUGGACAACUGUGGUCCAGCUAAGAAAUCUCUGUGUAGAAACCACCAUUCUACGUUCUGCUCUGCUGCUUGAGACGACCACAUCCUCCCCCAUACAGGACAGACUCCAUGGAGAGCUCAGAUGUGGAGCUGGACUUCCAGAGGAGUGUACAGGCUGUGCUGCGAGAGCUCAACACCCCAAACCCAGCCCUCCAGAGCAAUCAGGGCAUGUGGAGAUGGUCUCUGCACAAGAAGGUGGAGAGAAACCCAGGAAAGAGCUCCAUUCUGGUCCGAAUUCUGCUCAGAGAGCUGGAGAAGGCAGAAAGCGAGGACGGACGCCGUGUCAUCAUUCCCUUGCUGCUCACUCUAAUGUCCGUGCUCACUAAGGCCACAGGCAUCCCAGAAGAUCUGUACCAUAGAGCUUAUACCUUCUGCACCAGGCUACUGACCCUGCCGGCCCCCUACUCUACAGUCGCCUUGGACUGCGCCAUAAGACUGAAAACAGAGACGGCUGUCCCAGGUACGCUGUACCAGAGGACUGUCAUCGCUGAGCAGAAUCUGAUAAGUGAACUAUACCCUUACCAGGAGAGGGUGUUUCUGUUCGUGGACCCUGAGCUGGUUUCUGCCUCCGUGUGCAGUGCCCUGCUGCUGGAGAUCCAGGCGGCCCAAGAGCAGCAGACACCGGAGGCCUGCAUGCGCCACGUGGUCUCCCACGCCUUGCAGGCAGCUCUGGGAGAAGCCUGCCACACAGGUGCUCUGAACAGGAAGCUGCAGGCCAGCUCCCGACGCGUCCUGGAAUACUAUUUCCACGCCGUUGUGGCUGCCAUAGAGCAGGUGGCUAGCGAGGACAGCCCCAGCCGGCUGGGACACCUGGAGAAGAUGGAGGAGAUUUACUGCUCGCUGCUAGGGCCUGCGACCACAAGAAGGCACUGUGUCGGUGACCUUCUGCAAGACCGCCUGCCAAGCAUCCCCCUGCCCAGCCCCUACAUCACCUUCCACCUCUGGACCGACCAGGAGCAGCUCUGGAAGGAACUGGUACUCUUCCUCCGCCCACGCUCGCAGCUGCGCCUCAGUGCUGAUCUGGAUGCCUUGGAUCUACAAGGAUUUAGGCUAGACCGGGACUUGGCCCGGGUGUCCACCGACAGUGGAAUUGAGCGGGACCUCCCUUUGGGGAGCGAUGAGCUUCCGGACCCCAGCAGCUCUGAGAUGGAGCGGGCCGCCCUUCAACGCAAGGGGGGCAUCAAGAAGCGUGUGUGGCCCCCUGACUUCUUCAUGCCUGGCAGCUGGGAUGGGCCCCCGGGGUUGCAUCGGAGGACUGGCAGGCCUAGUGGGGACGGGGAGCUGCUACCUGGAGUCUCUCGGGUGCAUACCGCCCGCGUGCUCGUUCUGGGGGAUGACAGGAUGCUAGGGCGCUUGGCCCAGGCUUACUACAGACUCAGGAAACGGGAGACCAAGAAGUUCUGCCUCACUCCUAGACUCAGCCUACAGCUCUACUAUAUCCCUGUGCUGGCGCCUCAGGUGACUGGACAGGAUCCAGAAGCAUCCAGGAAGCCUGAGCUGGGAGAGCUGGCUUCCUUCCUGGGUCGAGUCGACCCAUGGUAUGAAAGCACUGUCAACACCCUGUGUCCUGCCAUCCUCAAGCUGGCCGAGAUGCAGCCUGGAGGUGGGUGGCUGCUGAAGACACUGCCCCUGUUCCUCACAGCCUCCCUACUUGGACACAUCUAGGACCGUGGACCCCUUCAUCCUGGAUGUCAUCACUUACUAUGUCCGCAUGGGCACUCAGCCCAUCUAUUUCCAGCUCUACAAGGUUAAGAUCUUCACCAGCUUGAGUCACGACCCUACAGAGGACAUUUUCCUCACAGAGCUGAAGGUGAAGAUCCAAGACUCCAAGUCCCCCAAAGAGGGCUCUUCACCUCGAAGGAGAGGGGCAGCUGAGGGCACAGGAGCUGAGCUGUCCAUGUGCUACCAGAAGGCCCUGCUCAGCCACAGACCACGAGAGGUCACUGUUUCUCUGCGGGCCACCGGGCUGGUCCUGAAGGCCAUUCCAGCUGGUGACACUGAAGACCAGGCUGGUCUCGAACUUGGCAUCCCCUUGCUUCCAGCAUCGGUGUUCUUACAGAGACAACUGGCAUAAAAGGGAAGAAACUCAAGAAAUAAUACUUUCAUAAAAGGUCACUUCCAGGCGAGCUGAGGGUAAACUGGCGGCAGAAUGGGAAGACAGACAUACAGGGUCUUCUUAGGACCCAGAAUCUCCAGCUUCCCACUCACAUAACCCCCCCCCCAUUUCUCUCAGUUUCAGGGUUCUUCCACUGUACCUCACCAAAUGCUGCUUCUGCCACAGACUGUUCCUGUCUGCACGUCAGUGUGACAGAGGUGGUCAAGUCCUCCAAUCUGGCAGGAAGGUCAUUUACGACAUCAACCAACACCUUCCGGACAUCCAGUAUCCAAGUCCAGAGCCAAGACCAGAGGCUGCUCACACUAUGGCUGGACAAGGACGGACGGCGGACUUUCAGGGAUGUGGUCAGAUUUGAGGUCAGUCCCUGCCCAGAGCCAUGUUCACGGACCCAGAAAUCCAAGACGUCAGCGCUCAAUUCGCACGGGCAGGAGACAGAGAAGAACAUGGCCAAGCCCAAUUCUCUUCUGAUGCCCAUCAACACAUUCUCUGGCAUCAUCCAAUAAGCUUACCAGGACAGUGGGAGAUCUGGGUCCAGGGGCAGCAGACCCAAGAAGGAAGAAACACUACCCACCCAUCCACAACAUUUACACUGACAGCCCCACUGGGCAGCUCUGCUUGGACCAGGAGCCAGAGAAUGCCUGGGAAUUAAAAGAGCCUGGGUUGUAAUGAAUAAGGGGCAUGUGAUAAAGAUGGAUGCAGCCCACGGCUCCCAGAUUGCUGGACAGAGUUGGAAUGAGAUGAGCUGAUGCAUACUCAAGCCAGCUUCUCCCAGAAACAUCUUUCUUGUGAUGAUGUUCAUUUCCCGUUUCUCAUCCACCAUCCACUCCAGCUCCCUAGGGAGUCCUGAGAACUGGUGUCAGUUAGCUGCAGGUAUAGCUGGUGGUUCAGCGGUAGAGCACUUGCCUAGUGUGUGGGAGGCCUUGGGUUUGACCUCAGUUUAUAAAAAGGGGUUCAGAGCUGAUGGGUUCACUAUUUGUACAGCGCCCUGUGGCUUUGGAAGGACCAGGGAGUAGGUAGUGAAUACUGUAUUUGCUCCCUUCUGACUUCAUACCAUCCUUUGCAGCUCUCAAGGCCACGGUUCGCCAGUGCCGAGGGGGGUCGGUCUGUCUCAGUAAAGAAGAGAGUGAUAGUCUCAAUAAAAGCACACUAAAGUG